GAGUAACACGUGGGUGAUCUGCCCUGCACUUUGGGAUAAGCCUGGGAAACUGGGUCUAAUACCGGAUAGGACCACGCAUUUUAUGGUGUGUGGUGGAAAGCUUUUGCGGUGUGGGAUGGGCCCGCGGCCUAUCAGCUUGUUGGUGGGGUAAUGGCCUACCAAGGCGACGACGGGUAGCCGGCCUGAGAGGGUGACCGGCCACACUGGGACUGAGAUACGGCCCAGACUCCUACGGGAGGCAGCAGUGGGGAAUAUUGCACAAUGGGCGCAAGCCUGAUGCAGCGACGCCGCGUGAGGGAUGACGGCCUUCGGGUUGUAAACCUCUUUCGCCAGGGACGAAGCGCAAGUGACGGUACCUGGAGAAGAAGGACCGGCCAACUACGUGCCAGCAGCCGCGGUAAUACGUAGGGUCCGAGCGUUGUCCGGAAUUACUGGGCGUAAAGAGCUCGUAGGUGGUUUGUCGCGUUGUUCGUGAAAACUCACAACUCAAUUGUGGGCGUGCGGGCGAUACGGGCAGACUGGAGUACUGCAGGGGAGACUGGAAUUCCUGGUGUAGCGGUGGAAUGCGCAGAUAUCAGGAGGAACACCGGUGGCGAAGGCGGGUCUCUGGGCAGUAACUG
rnacentral:rRNA from 1 species